AUUUCAUGAGUUGGGCAUGGUAUCAAUAAUGUUUUAAACCUCACCCACGACUCAUGCAAAGGUUCUCCUUCUAGAUGCUUGAAGUUCAAGAUGUGAUCCCUGAAUGU